AAGGAUAAUCAUGCAUUUUGAAUCUUGAUUCUUGAGGCAACUUCCAAAGGGGCAGCGUUAGCGUGGUUUUGCAACUUUCAGCUUUCCCUUCAACUUCCAUUUCUCUGCAACGAGCAAACGAGCGAGCGAGAGAAGAAUUUUGUUGCAGCAGAGCUUGCGGGAGACACACAAAGAGAUGAGCGGAAUUUCGAGAUGCAGAUCGUCUGAUUUGGUUGCGUUUUCGGCUUCGAUUUCCCUACUUUUCGUCUCCGCCCUUUCUGAUGACUCCAGUACCAAAGAUAGUAAUGACUCUGGGAAUCAUCCAUCCUCCCACAGCAACACUGGCUCGAUGGUUGCCAUCAUACUCCUUGGGCUUUUGGUAGUUUUGUUAUUAUCAAUUUUCCUUUUCAAAUUAUGGCAAAAGAAGAGAAGAGAGGAGCAGUAUGCCCGACUUCUGAAAUUGUUUGAAGAAGAUGAUGAGCUCGAGGUUGAACUUGGUCUUCGGGAUUGAAGAAUAUCUGAAAUUCUAGUUCAAUGAAGUUGGGCUUAGAAACCAUUAUGUUGGAAUUAUUGCAUCUCAAAUGUCUAAAGAUGGUGAGGUGAUGAUAGUUUGCUGUAAGGUUAGAAUAUUUUUCUUGAUUUUUUUUGUUAAAAAAGAAAAAUCUUGGGGCAGCCAUAACCUUGUAACUCCUCCCAUAUUAUAAAGAAUCAUUUUAUCUGAUGGAGGUAAAAUACCAUUUUGUAAGAAGCGCUUGAAGGAUAUGAAUGAGUUCAGGUUUGUAUAAUUCAUGUCAAUUGUCAUAUAACAAGUUUGUUGAUGAAGGGUUUUGAUUAAGGCUUCAAAUAUUGUUCUUUUCUGUAAA